GAUGAACGCUGGCGGCGUGCUUAACACAUGCAAGUCGAACGUAAAGGCCGAAGCUUGCUUCGGUACUCGAGUGGCGAACGGGUGAGUAACACGUGGGUGAUCUGCCCUGUACUUCGGGAUAAGCUUGGGAAACUGGGUCUAAUACCGGAUAUGACAAUCUCUUGGAUGGGGUUGUGGAAAGCUGUUGCGGUAUGGGAUGAGCUCGCGGCCUAUCAGGUUGUUGGUGGGGUAAUGGCGUACCAAGGCGUCGACGGGUAGCAGGCCUGAGAGGGUGUACGGCCACAUUGGGACUGAGAUACGGCCCAGACUCCUACGGGAGGCAGCAGUGGGGAAUAUUGCACAAUGGGCGCGAGCCUGAUGCAGCGACGCCGCGUGGGGGAUGACGGCCUUCGGGUUGUAAACUCCUUUCGCAACAGACGAAGCUUUUGUGACGGUAGGUUGAGAAGAAGCACCGGCUAACUACGUG
rnacentral:rRNA from 1 species